UACGGAGGGUGCAAGCGUUAUCCGGAUUCACUGGGUUUAAAGGGUGCGUAGGUGGAAAUUUAAGUCAGUGGUGAAAGCCCCGAGCUCAACUUGGGAACUGCCAUUGAUACUGAUUUUCUUGAAUACGGUUGAGGUAAGUAGAAUACGACAUGUAGCGGUGAAAUGCUUAGAUAUGUCGUAGAAUACCAAUUGUGAAGACAGCUUACUAAGCCGUUAUUGACACUGAGGCACGAAAGCGUGGGGAGCAAACAGG
rnacentral:rRNA from 1 species